UUGGAGAUAAGCUGGAGAUAUAGACGUACAGACAGUGAAUUACACUGACAGAGCCAGGCACAGAAUCAUCCAAUCAAUAACAACAACGACGCUUUGACAAAUGUAAAAUAAAUGAAAAAUAUUUACUCAUUCUGAUUGUAUUGGAUUUAGUUUUUAGAUGAAAUGGCGGCGGCCGAUGUAAAGCCCGAAGAGUUCUCUAUGGAGAACGUUAAACUUUUGGGAGAUAAUAAAAAACUAAAACGUUUUAAAGGUGGAGUGGUAUACCACCAAAUCGACGACAUUCCAAACACGGAUGUGGUGGAUGCAGACAACAGCAAUAAUUAUACGCAGCACAAAAAUGGAUGCAAGAAAUCAGUGGUCAAGACGCUGUGGAAAUUGCUGCCGAUUGCUGUUAUGGUUGUCUUAGUGGUAGUAUUGUGUGUUGUGACGGACGCACGACAUCAAAGGUUGUAACAGUUAUUUGUCUUUUUUGCGCCACUAGCUACUAUUUAUCCUCUUCUAGUUUCUAAAUUUAUCUUUUAGUUACCGGUUAUAUGGAACGCUAUUCAUUCCUUCUGUAAAACUUCUGAAAUAUAUAAGAAGCAAUGGCUUCGAUAUUUAUUAUUAUUAUAAUGCAGUGGUUUUGAUAUACUGGUGAGGUCAUUGUGUUAAAAGCACCUAUAUCAAAGGUCAUCGGUUGACUUGUCAUUGCAAUUUCCUAUGUGUGUACUACAUGUAAAAACGAACGGUCUAGUUAUACAUGUUGCUGCAUGUGUACAUACACAGUGUAUAAUUAAGAGUUUCAAAGAGAAGUUUUUUAUUUUACUGUUUUAAAUAAGAGUAUAAGAGAUAUUUCAGAGCCAAAAUCUACCAUUUUUACUGUGAAUGGCUGGGAUUCGGAGACAUUUAAUUGCUUUGAAAUUAAUUCUUCUUUUCACAAAAUAAACGCAUUAACCAUGUCAGGUUAGGAUUGAGAAAAGUUAAAAACUUAACAAAAUCAAUCUACCGUAUACUUGAAUCUAAAUCACAUCAUCAUAUGCUGUAUACUUAAAAGUCUUUUUGAUUAGUGCAGUUUUUCAAGCGUAUUAAUAA